rnacentral:rRNA from 1 species
CGCGUAGGCAGUUCGGUUAGUUAGGCGUGAAAUUCCUGGGCUCAACCUAGGGACUGCGCUUAAUACAGCCGGGCUUGAGUUCGGAAGAGGGUAGUGGAAUUCCCAGUGUAGAGGUGAAAUCCGUAGAUAUUGGGAAGAACACCGGUGGCGAAGGCGGCUACCUGGUCCGAUACUGACGCUGAGGCGCGAAAGCGUGGGGAGCAAACA